rnacentral:rRNA from 1 species
CCGGAGAGCCAUCUCGGCAAUGCAAUCACUGAAGACACGCAUGCGCGAGAGAUGGACACUAGCCGAACUUUUGUCCGCAUAUGGAACCGGAUCAGGUUGUAGUCCGGAACCACAACAACUGAGAUGGGGCUCUGAAUUGGCAACUCUUGUGUGGCUGUGCACAGUUCCUUAUCCUCGGAGCCUCUAAUUAAGCACCACAUUUCCGCUAGCCAUCCACUGUUCCGCACCGCACCUCAUCAUUCCUCGGUCAUGGCUGCUGUGCUCGCCGCGUUCGCGUUGCUGUAGUUGCCGUCACUGGCACCGGUGGGAUCGGCAAAACCACCCUCGCCAGGAUGGUUUUCAGCGACAGCAUGGUGGCGGACAGCUUCGACGACAAGGUCUGGUUGAGCGUUAACCAAGGAGGCCAACGAGAUCGCCCUCCUGCAAAGCGUUUUAUCUGCUCUUGGGGGUAAUUGCCGUGGUGUUGCCGCAGACAAGGCCAUGCUCCAAGAUGCCUUGAGGCAUAAUUAAGGUGAGGCAACGCAAGUUGCUGCUGAUCAUGGAUGAUUUGUGGAACGAUAAGGUGUGGAACGAGCUGCUUAGGGUCCCACUUAGUGAUGGUGCUUCCGGGAGCCGAGUCUUGGUGUGGUGACCACGAGGAUGGGAUUAGAGCACAUCACAUCCAUCAAGUGGACAAGCUAGCGUCGGAAGAUGCUUGGUCCUUGCUAAAGAAGCAGGUAGUUUUGGAUGAAAGUGAUGAAUCCGACGUCGAUGAACUAAAAGAUGUCGGAAUGAAGAUUGUGGGAAAAUGUGAUGGCCUGCCACUUGCAGUUAAGGUUGUCGGUGGACUAUUACUCAGCAAGAACAGAACAAGAGGUGCUUGGAUGGAUGUUCUUAACAACAUCUCAUGGUCAAUUACUGGAACCAAUGAUGAUUUAAAAAAAAGCAGUCUAUGCAUGUGAGCUAUGUUGAAUUGCCACCUCACCUGAAGCAAUGCCUUUUGUAUUGUUCACUUAUUCCUAACGAUGAACAGAUCCCACACUCAGUUAUUGUUAAGAUGUGGAUGCAUGGCAGAGGGUUUUAUACAAAACAACACCAGUUCAAAGCUACCAGAAGAUUUGGGAAUGGAAUACCAUGGAGAACUAGUAUCAAGGAACCUUUUAGAACCGCGUGAUGCAUUUCACGGUCAAUCGGUGUGUACCAUGCAUGAUCUUGUUCGUGACUUUGCUCAACUUGUAGCAAAAGAUGAAGGACUAUUUGUUAGUGAAGGAGAGAGCUCGAGUACUAGUCUUGCUAAUAGAAAACUACGCCACCUAUCUAUAUCAAGAGAUGCAACAGAGUUGGGUUCUUUGGAAACAGAGGCCUCGCUGAGGACACUCAUGUUAUUCAACCGCCCGGUCACAUAUGGUUACCUGGAUAAUCUUCGUUGUCUACGAGUAUUGCAUAUAAGUUGUAAUGAUGUAAAUCUCAUGGAGUUUCCGGAGUAUGUCUGCCAGCUCAAGCAUUUAAGAUACUUGCUACUCAGGGGCACAAGCAUAUCAAAAAUUCCAGAAGGCAUAGGAGACCUAAAGUUUCUGCAGGCCAUUGACCUUGUAGGGUCUAUAAAUUUGUGCCAACUUCCUGAGAGCAUCUUGAAGCUACAGAACCUGAGAUGUAUCAGCUUGUACGGAACAAAGAUAACCUCAAUUCCUCGUGGAUUCGGGAAGCUAAAAAAUUUGGUCAAUCUGCAAGGUAUUACAACACAUUCAGAUUAUAGCGGAGAUGGUUGGUGCAGCUUGGAAGAACUAGGGUCUCUGCUGAAACUCAAAUAUCUUUACAUAACAUGUUUGGAUAAGGCGCCUUCUGGUUCUGUGGCUGCUAGAGCCAAGCUGAGUAGUAAACAACACCUCAUCUGGUUACAAUUGAUAUUUACUAGCGAUUUUACAGUGAAUUGGGAGGUUCAAGACCCUCCACCUUCCAUAGGAUAAUCUCUGUCCUCCACCUUCCAUAGAAGACCUUACCAUACCCAUACUUUGGACGUAUGCUACCCCAGUGGAUGAGAAAUAUGUCAGCCUUUGAGAGCUUGUCGUGGUUGGAGCUGUCGGAUUACGCAUGCUGCGAGGAACUCCCUAUUGGCUUGGGCCAGCUCCGCUUUCUUGAUGUUCUCAAGGUUAACCGGGCUCCGUCCAUUAGGCGUAUCGGUCAUGAUUUCAUCCUCCCCUCCUUAGGUGGCAUGACUGACUCGUCUGCCCAUCCAGGAGGAACACAGAUAAUUGAGGAGAGACACAGACGGAUUGCAUUCCCCAAGCUCCAAACCUUGGGGCUAGUAGGGAUGUCUGGAUGGACGGAGUGGGAACGGGAGGAGCAAGUCCUAGCAAUGCCAGCUCUAGAGAAGCUUUGGAUUGGCGAAUGUAGACUGACUCAUCUCCCCAUUGGACUUGCAUACCAUGCAAGAGCAUUGAGAAUGCUGGACCUGAGAAAUUCAAACUUUGUCUGCGUGGAGAACUUGCCUUCAAUCGACGAGCUAUGGUUAGUUAACAACCCAAAGCUAGAGAGGAUCACCAACAACCAAAGCUUGCAGAUUAUAUAUCCGCCUUGCAAAUUGUCGGAGCUUAAAGACACUGGAUGAGUUGCCUUCACUCCGAAACUUCCAAUGGGAGGAUUUGAGCAGUGGAACACUUCCAGAUUACUUACGAGGGGCACACUUAAAUAAGUUGCUUUUAUAUUGCAGCCCAAGCUUACUUAAACUGGAUAUCCUUACAAAAUUACAAAUCCGAGUGGGGAAAGAUCAAGCAUGUUCAGCAACUAAGGGCGAUUUCGCUGAAACCAGGGGUUGAUCGAAACAUAGGGCAGAUUGAAUACACAAAGAAACCGUAUUCCUUUCAGACGAACAGCGGUGAGAAUUCCGGCUCCACAGAUGAAUGUAAGGAUGAUGGACUGGAUAACUCUUUCCUACACAUAAGGUUUUAAGUUGGUGAAAGCAUACACAGUGGAGGGCAGAGGUGCGGAUGCUUCAAUGGCCACCGAGAGGGCAAACGCUCUACAAGCUGCUCAUUUUCAUUAGCGUCGAGUUCCGGCUCGUUCGCGGAGGGGUUGUUUGUACUUGUUGAUGUAUGUAUGGGUGUAACUAUUCUUGUUGGUACGCACAAUGGAAGUUUAUAUUCUCUAAUAAGUCACAGUGGAGUCACGCAACUCCCUCUGCUGCAAAAAACCCAGCUCUUCUCUGCAGCAACCGCACAGCGCACAUACACACGCACGACCAAAAACAAACCAACACAUUUUGUUUUCAAAUGCACAUGCAUGAGGCUGGAGAAAUGCAUUUUUUCACCUGAAGCACAACACACUGGAGAGACCAUCUUCUCCCUGUUUUUCUAGGAGAAAGAGCACGGUGCACCGAUCUCGGUACCAUGUUUCAGUAGCGGAAAA